rnacentral:lncRNA from 1 species
GGGUUGGGUUGAGUGAAAGUAGGUCUAAUUGAGUUUGACCCUUGUGACCAAGAAAAAUUGAGUUGGUUCCUCCAUCCUGGAUUGUAUGUUGGUGCGUAGGGGUCAUUUGUAGAUCUUUGAUAGGCUGCAUUUACCUGUGCUACUUCAUUCUCGGCUGGACCCAUCAAGAAAGGACAUCCUUCCAUCGUGUGGUCUGUGGAAUUACACCCAUUGCAAGUGGUUCUUGCAACUUGGUUCACUUGGAUGUGUUCCUUGAGUUCUAGAGCAUCUAUCCUAUGGAUCAAAGAUGCAAAUUUAGCCUCUUCAGCUAGGAAAGGUUGAACUUGAUAUAC